GGAAGGAUCAUUAUAGAGAGCUUCGGCUCCCUGUAUGCUAUUACCACACUGUUAUUCUAUUCUAUGUUGCUUCCACCACCUUUACGGUGGUGGGGGGUUUUUCAUACUAUUCUUUUUGCAUAGACCGUUAAUCUGUCUGAAUAUGAGGGAAAUUAUUAUAAAACUUUCAACAACGGAUCUCUUGGCUCCUGCAUCGAUGAAGAACGCAGCGAAAUGCGAUAAUUAAUGUGAAUUGCAGAAUUCCGUGAAUCAUCGAGUCUUUGAACGCACAUUGCGCCUCAUGGUAUUCCGUGAGGCAUGCCCAUCUCAGCGUUAGUAGAUAUUAUCAAAUUUUGACAUUGUCAAUAUUUGGAUCAUGUCGAGGAAGCUAUUACCAUCGAUGUGGAUAGCUCCUUGGAAAUUCAUAGGUCUUCAAGUUGCCAUCAUUAGAACGUGAUGAAAAUUCCUUCGUUCACAUGUAGUUCGCUUGUAUAGUCCUAAAACUCAUAUACCUUUUUGGUAUUUUUUUCAAUUUGACCUGAGAUUGGGUAGGGAUACCCGCUGAACUUAAGCAUAUCAAUAAGCGGAGGAAAAGAAACCAACAGGGAUUGCCUCAGUAACGGCGAGUGAAGCGGCAAGAGCUCAGAUUUGAAAGCUAGCAUCUUUGAUGUUCGCAUUGUAAUCUGUAGAGGAGUGUUCGAGCAUAGCUUUGACCCAAGUUCUUUGGAACAGGACGUCAUGGAGGGUGAGAAUCCCGUUCAUGGUUGUUGUCUUAUGCUUAUGUGAACCUCCUUCAAUGAGUCGAGUUGUUUGGGAAUGCAGCUCUAAAUGGGUGGUAUAUUUCAUCUAAAGCUAAAUAUCAGCAGGAGACCGAUAGUGCACAAGUAGAGUGAUCGAAAGAUGAAAAGAACUUUGGAAAGAGAGUCAAACAGUACGUGAAAUUGUUGAAAGGGAAGCACUUGCACCCAGACUUGCUUUCAGUUGAUCAACUAUCAUUUUUGAUUGUGCACUUAAUUGUAAGCAGGCCAGUAUCAGUUAGAGUGGUGGGGCAAAGGUGUUGAGAAUGUAGCUCUUUCGGGAGUGUUAUAACUCUUCAUGUCAUGUCAUCUGCUCUGACUGAGGUUCGCACUUUGGUGAGGAUGCUGGCUUAAUGGGUGCAAGUGACCCGUCUUGAAACACGGACCAAGGAGUCUAACAGUUGUGCAAGUGUUUGGGUAUAAAACCCUUAUGCGUAAUGAAAGUAAAUGGAGGUGAGAACCGGAAGGUGCAUCAUCGACCGAUCCUGAUGUCUUCAGAUGGAUUUGAGUAAGAGCAUAGCUGUUGGGACCCGAAAGAUGGUGAACUAUGCCUGAAUAGGGUGAAGCCAGAGGAAACUCUGGUGGAGGCUCGCAGCGGUUCUGACGUGCAAAUCGAUCGUCAAAUUUGGGUAUAGGG
rnacentral:rRNA from 1 species